rnacentral:rRNA from 1 species
GAUAAACGCUGGCGGCGUGCUUAACACAUGCCAGUCGAACGAAGUUUUUCUUUCGGGAGGAACUUAGUGGCGGACGGGUGAGUAACGCGUGGGUAACCUGCCCUGUACAGGGGGACAACAGCUGGAAACGGCUGCUAAUACCGCAUAAGCCCUUAGCACUGCAUGGUGCAUAGGGAAAAGGAGCAAUCCGGUACAGGAUGGACCCGCGUCUGAUUAGCCAGUUGGCAGGGUAACGGCCUACCAAAGCGAUGAUCAGUAGCCGAUCUGAGAGGAUGUACGGCCACAUUGGGACUGAGACACGGCCCAGACUCCUACGGGAGGCAGCAGUGGGGAAUAUUGCACAAUGGAGGAAACUCUGAUGCAGCGACGCCGCGUGAGUGAAGAAGUAUUUCGGUAUGUAAAGCUCUAUCAGCAGGGAAGAAAAUGACGGUACCUGACUAAGAAGCACCGGCUAAAUACGUG